GACGAACGCGGCGGCGUGCUUAACACAUGCAAGUCGAACGAAGAGCGAUGGAAGCUUGCUUCUAUCAAUCUUAGUGGCGAACGGGUGAGUAACGCGUAAUCAACCUGCCCUUCAGAGGGGAACAACAGUUGGAAACGACUGCUAAUACCGCAUACGAUCUGACCUCGGCAUCGAGGAUAGAUGAAAGGUGGCCUCUACAUGUAAGCUAUCACUGAAGGAGGGGAUUGCGUCUGAUUAGCUAGUUGGAGGGGUAACGGCCCACCAAGGCGAUGAUCAGUAGCCGGUCUGAGAGGAUGAACGGCCACAUUGGGACUGAGACACGGCCCAGACUCCUACGGGAGGCAGCAGUGGGGAAUCUUCCGCAAUGGACGAAAGUCUGACGGAGCAACGCCGCGUGAGUGAUGACGGCCUUCGGGUUGUAAAGCUCUGUUAAUCGGGACGAAAGGCCUUUCUUGUGAAUAAUGAGAAGGAAUGAC
rnacentral:rRNA from 1 species